rnacentral:rRNA from 1 species
UAUAAGACUGGGAUAACUUCGGGAAACCGGAGCUAAUACCGGAUAACAUUUGGAACCGCAUGGUUCUAAAGUGAAAGAUGGUUUUGCUAUCACUUAUAGAUGGACCCGCGCCGUAUUAGCUAGUUGGUAAGGUAACGGCUUACCAAGGCAACGAUACGUAGCCGACCUGAGAGGGUGAUCGGCCACACUGGAACUGAGACACGGUCCAGACUCCUACGGGAGGCAGCAGUAGGGAAUCUUCCGCAAUGGGCGAAAGCCUGACGGAGCAACGCCGCGUGAGUGAUGAAGGGUUUCGGCUCGUAAAACUCUGUUAUUAGGGAAGAACAAAUGUGUAAGUAACUAUGCACAUCUUGACGGUACCUAAUCAGAAAGCCACGGCUAACUACGUGCCAGCAGCCGCGGUAAUACGUAGGUGGCAAGCGUUAUCCGGAAUUAUUGGGCGUAAAGCGCGCGUAGGCGGUUUCUUAAGUCUGAUGUGAAAGCCCACGGCUCAACCGUGGAGGGUCAUUGGAAACUGGGAAACUUGAGUGCAGAAGAGGAAAGUGGAAUUCCAUGUGUAGCGGUGAAAUGCGCAGAGAUAUGGAGGAACACCAGUGGCGAAGGCGACUUUCUGGUCUGUAACUGACGCUGAUGUGCGAAAGCGUGGGGAUCAAACAGGAUUAGAUACCCUGGUAGUCCACGCCGUAAACGAUGAGUGCUAAGUGUUAGGGGGUUUCCGCCCCUUAGUGCUGCAGCUAACGCAUUAAGCACUCCGCCUGGGGAGUACGACCGCAAGGUUGAAACUCAAG